AUAUCCCAAAAGCGGAGGAAAAGAAACUAACAAGGAUUCCCCUAGUAACUGCGAGUGAAGCGGGAAAAGCUCAAAUUUAAAAUCUGGUGGUCUUUGGCCAUCCGAGUUGUAAUCUAGAGAAGUGUUGUCCGCGCUGGACCGUGUACAAGUCCCCUGGAAUGGGGCGUCAUAGAGGGUGAGAAUCCCGUCUUUGACACGGACUACCAGGGCUUUGUGAUGCACUCUCAAAGAGUCGAGUUGUUUGGGAAUGCAGCUCAAAAUGGGUGGUAAAUUCCAUCUAAAGCUAAAUAUUGGCGAGAGACCGAUAGCGAACAAGUACCGUGAGGGAAAGAUGAAAAGAACUUUGGAAAGAGAGUUAAACAGUACGUGAAAUUGUUGAAAGGGAAACGCUUGAAGUCAGUCGCGUCUGCCAGGGAUCAACCUUACUUUUGUGAGGCGUACUUCCUGGUUGAUGGGUCAGCAUCAGUUUUGGUUGCUGGAUAAAGGUCAGAGAAAUGUGGCACCUUYGGGUGUGUUAUAGUCUUUGAUCAGAUACAGUGGCUGGGACUGAGGAACUCAGCGCCGCAAGGCUGUCUUAGGAUGCUGGCAAAAUGGCUUUAAUCGACCCGUCUUGAAACACGGCCAAAAGGGAUUCA
rnacentral:rRNA from 1 species